UCCCUUUUAUUAUACCAUAUUUCAAAUCAUUCCGCACUCUUGAAUGAAAAAAUGCUCUAAAGUCUCUUCCUUAACCCAUUUUUUUGAUUUUUUUUGAUUUUUUUUGAUUUUUAGGGUAGACUUAUAAGAUAUGAGAAAACAAAUUCAUCCACUUAUUUUAUUUAGUUUUUUUGGGAUUAUGAUGUUCAUUUUAAUCAUCAAUCGCCCACUUAAUGACAGCCAAUCGUUUAAAACAAAAUCCAAUAUAGCACAGGCUUUGAAACACUUAGACAAACCGAUUAUUGACCUCUCUGGCUGGCAGCAUCCUGAGGAAAUCAACUACGAUGCCCUCUCACAAAAUAUUUCAGGUGCUAUUGUUCGUGUUCACAGUGGUGCUCAAACAACAAAAGAAAAUGAUGCUUCAUUUAUCAAUGGAAUAGACAAGGCCUAUAAGAGUCAUAUCACUGAACUUCAAAAGCGGAAUGUCCCAGUUGCUGUCUACGCUUAUGUAGCUGGAAAAAGUGUCCAAGAAAUGGAAAAGGCUGCCGAAGUUUUCUACAAUGCUGCCUCUCCUUACAGCCCUAGUUACUAUUGGCUUGACGUGGAAGACAAAACCAUGUCUAAUAUGAACGAAGGUGUCGAAAACUUUCGAGCAAAACUAGCAUCACUAGGUGCUAAAAACAUCGGCAUCUACGUUGGUGUCUACUUCAUGGAAGAACACAGUAUUGAUACAGGCAAGUUUACCUCUGUUUGGAUUCCGUCCUACGGCUCAGACUCAGGAUUUUUGGAGAGCAGUCCUAAAACUGAUUUAGAUUAUGAUAUUCACCAAUACACAUCUAAAGGAAAAAUUGCCGGCUUUGACCACGAUUUAGAUAUCAACGUUAUCUCUCCCUUAAAAAAUAAAGAAGAAACCUUUCGAAAACUUUUUUUAAAACCUUAAAAGCAUUUGUUUAUCAUUUGCUUUUUCUUUUUGUGUCUGAUUGUGAUACAAUAUAGUAAGGAUUUUUUGAAAUAGAAAUAGUUGGAGGAAAUAUAUGCUCUCAUGGUUAGCACGCGUUAUUAAAGGGAUUGUAAUUGCUCUUGGAUUUAUCCUACCGGGAAUUUCCGGAGGGGUUCUAGCAGCAAUCUUAGGAAUCUAUGAACGAAUGAUUGGCUUUCUGGCCCAUCCCUUUAAAGACUUUAAAGAAAAUGUUUUGUACUUUAUUCCAGUUGCCAUCGGUAUGCUUCUGGGAAUCGGCUUAUUUUCCUACCCGAUUGAAUACCUGCUUGAAAAUUAUCAGGUUUUUGUAUUAUGGAGCUUUGCGGGAGCUAUUAUCGGUACAGUUCCUAGCCUCCUCAAAGAAUCAACUCGAGAAUCUGACCGAGACAAGAUUGAUUUAGCUUGGUUAUGGACAACCUUUAUCAUUUCUGGAUUAGGACUCUAUGCCUUAAAUUUUGUCGUUGGAACCUUAAGCGCCAGCUUUCUUAACUUCGUCCUAGCAGGCGCACUAUUGGCCCUUGGCGUCUUGGUUCCUGGCCUCAGUCCAUCAAAUUUACUUUUGAUUUUGGGACUCUAUGCUCCUAUGUUGACUGGUUUUAAAACUUUUGAUCUCUUGGGAACCUUCUUUCCGAUUGGAAUUGGUGCAGGUGCAACUCUCAUCGUUUUUUCAAAAUUGAUGGAUUAUGCCUUAAACAACUACCACUCACGCGUCUAUCAUUUCAUCAUCGGUAUCGUCCUAUCAAGUACCCUUUUGAUCUUAAUUCCAAAUGCAGGAAACGCUGAAAGUAUCCAAUACACAGGACUUUCACUUGUCGGUUAUGUCAUCAUCGCCUUCUUCUUUGCGCUGGGAAUCUGGCUUGGUAUUUGGAUGAGUCAAUUGGAGGAUAAAUAUAAAUAAUGGCAAAAAAAGUUAAAAUCAAAAAAACAUUGGUGGAACAAAUCCUAUCUAAAGCAGCUAUCCCUCAUCAGGGGAUUCAAAUCAAUGCCCUAGAAGGAGAGCUUCCUCAAGGUUAUGAACGAGAUCAGAUUUUCAAAACCUUGGCGCUUUUGGGAGACAAGACCGGACCGAUUAUCGGAAUUGUCCCUAUCACUCAGCACUUGUCUGAAAAGAAACUAGCUAAAAUUUCUGGCAAUAAAAAAGUGAGCAUGAUUCCACAAAAGGACUUAGAAAAAACAACUGGUUACAUUCAUGGAGCCAAUAAUCCUGUCGGAAUUCGUCAGAAACACAAUUAUCCCAUUUUUAUCGAUAAAAUUGCUCUAGAUUUGGAUCAAAUGAUUGUCUCUGCAGGCGAAGUCGGACACAGCAUUAUCGUCGCGCCACAAGACUUGGCUAGCUUUGUAAAGGCAGACUUUGUAGAUAUUUUGGAGGACAUCAAGUAAUGAAACUCUACUUUGUCCGCCACGGUCGUACCCUCUGGAACCAAGAAGGUCGUUUUCAAGGUGCUAGUGGUGAUUCUCCUCUUCUUCCUGAAUCCAUUGAAACCCUAAAACGACUUGGCCAGUAUCUCAAGGAAAUUCCUUUUGAUCAGAUUUAUUCAAGUGAUUUACCUCGAGCGGUCAAAUCUGCUGAGAUUAUCCAAAGUCAACUCCAUACCCCCUGUUCUUUAGAAAUCGUUCCUAAUCUCCGUGAAUGGCAACUUGGGAAGUUAGAAGGUUUGAAAAUUGCAACCCUGGAAGCUAUUUACCCGCAACAAAUCCAGGCUUUUCGUUCAAAUCUUGCUCAAUUUGACACUCGAAUGUUCGGAGCCGAAUCCCUCUAUAGUACAACUCAGCGGACCAUCCAAUUUAUCAAAUCAUUAAAAGAUAGUCCAGCUGAGCGUAUUCUAAUUGUCGGACACGGCGCCAAUCUUACUGCCAGUCUUCGUACUCUCCUAGGCUAUAAAGAACCACUUCUUCGUAAAGAUGGCGGUCUAGCAAAUGCCAGCCUGACCAUUAUAGAAACCCAUGAUUUUGAAACAUUCACUCUCAAUACUUGGAAUGAUACUUCUUAUCAAUCAUAAUUAUAGCCUAGCCUUCUGAACUAGAACCAUAGGAGAUAUAGUCAGUUGAAACAAAAAUAAGACAAAAGAACCUUGUAAAAAGGUAUUGCAACUUGCCAAUACCUUUUUGAUAUGAACACGUGUCUUCUCAACAGGAUUGUAGAGCAAAAUGAAAUAAGAACUGAAUAAUAUGAUUUGAGAAUUUAAAUCAAUUUAUAAGAAUGUUUUAGAAGCAGUUAUGUACUAUUUCAGAUUCACUUUUCUAUACUAAGAUGAGUAGGGAGGAAAAGGUAAAAGUUUAUGCCCAAACUCUUCACACAAGAGUUCUAGCUUACCCAUUCUAUGGAAUCUUGCAUUAUCCAUUAAAACUUCCAGACUCAUACCCUCCUAAAAUCUAUUCAAACCACGUCAGCUUCACAUUAUAUAUGUUGGUUACCUCACAAGUUUUAUCUGCAACCUCAAAGCUGUUCUUUGAGCAGCCUACAGCUAGCUUCCUAGUUUAAUCUUUGCUUUUCACUGAGUAUCAAGUUAAAAAAUGAGGCUGGUCAAAAAGUCUUUAAAAUUAUAAAACGCAUCAUAUCAGGUGUACAUGAACUACACCCCAAAAGUUAGACAGAAAAAAUCUAACUUUUGGGGUGUUUUUAUUAUGAAAUUGAAUUAUGAUGAUAAAGUUCAGAUCUAUGAACUUAGAAAACAAGGAUAUAGCUUAGAGAAGCUUUCAAAUAAAUUUGGGAUAAACAAUUCUAAUCUUAGGUAUAUGAUUAAAUUGAUUGAUCGUUAAUGUUGGAACAGGCAUUCACAGAGAAGCACUAUGGUGGAGUCCUUCUUUGGGAUUCUGAAAUCGGAAAUGUUUUAUGGCUAUGAGCAAACAUUUAAAUCACUUAAUCAAUUGGAACAAGCUAUUAUAGACUAUAUUGAUUAUUACAACAACAAGAGAAUUAAGNUAUUCUCCUGAAAAUUCACGCGCAGUCUGGGCAACUACGUCUGUUUCUAGCAUGGUACGAAUCUGGCGAAUCGUACUAUAAACAGCCUUGGCAUCGCUUGAGCCAUGAGUCUUGACAACAGGUUGAUAUUCCUGUACUAGAGUAUGUAGUGAUGGAGGGACGCAGUAGGCUAACUAAAGCAGACGAUUGGAAGAGUCUGUCUAAGCAGUGAGGUGUGAAUUGAGUCAAAUGCUUAAUUCUAUAACAUUGAGCUGUGAUGGGGAGCGAAGUUUAGUAGCGAAGUUAGUGACGUCACACUGCCAAGAAAAGCUUCUAGCGUUUAAACAUACUCUACCCGUACCGCAAACCGACACAGGUAGUCGAGGCGAGUAGCCUCAGGUGAGCGAGAGAACUCUCGUUAAGGAACUCGGCAAAAUGACCCCGUAACUUAGGGAGAAGGGGUGCUGACUUUAAGUCAGCCGCAGUGAAUAGGCCCAAGCAACUGUUUAUCAAAAACACAGCUCUCUGCUAAAUCGUAAGAUGAUGUAUAGGGGGUGACGCCUGCCCGGUGCUGGAAGGUUAAGAGGAGUGCUUAGCGUAAGCGAAGGUAUGAAUUGAAGCCCCAGUAAACGGCGGCCGUAACUAUAACGGUCCUAAGGUAGCGAAAUUCCUUGUCGGGUAAGUUCCGACCCGCACGAAAGGCGUAAUGAUUUGGGCACUGUCUCAACGAGAGACUCGGUGAAAUUUUAGUACCUGUGAAGAUGCAGGUUACCCGCGACAGGACGGAAAGACCCCAUGGAGCUUUACUGCAGUUUGAUAUUGAGUGUCUGUACCACAUGUACAGGAUAGGUAGGAGUCUAAGAGAUCGGGACGCCAGUUUCGAAGGAGACGCUGUUGGGAUACUACCCUUGUGUUAUGGCCACUCUAACCCAGAUAGGUGAUCCCUAUCGGAGACAGUGUCUGACGGGCAGUUUGACUGGGGCGGUCGCCUCCUAAAAGGUAACGGAGGCGCCCCAAGGUUCCCUCAGAAUGGUUGGAAAUCAUUCGCAGAGUGUAAAGGUAUAAGGGAGCUUGACUGCGAGAGCUACAACUCGAGCAGGGACGAAAGUCGGGCUUAGUGAUCCGGUGGUUCCGUAUGGAAGGGCCAUCGCUCAACGGAUAAAAGCUACCCUGGGGAUAACAGGCUUAUCUCCCCCAAGAGUUCACAUCGACGGGGAGGUUUGGCACCUCGAUGUCGGCUCGUCGCAUCCUGGGGCUGUAGUCGGUCCCAAGGGUUGGGCUGUUCGCCCAUUAAAGCGGCACGCGAGCUGGGUUCAGAACGUCGUGAGACAGUUCGGUCCCUAUCCGUCGCGGGCGUAGGAAAUUUGAGAGGAUCUGCUCCUAGUACGAGAGGACCAGAGUGGACUUACCGCUGGUGUACCAGUUGUCUUGCCAAAGGCAUCGCUGGGUAGCUAUGUAGGGAAGGGAUAAACGCUGAAAGCAUCUAAGUGUGAAACCCACCUCAAGAUGAGAUUUCCCAUGAUUAUAUAUCAGUAAGAGCCCUGAGAGAUGAUCAGGUAGAUAGGUUAGAAGUGGAAGUGUGGCGACACAUGUAGCGGACUAAUACUAAUAGCUCGAGGACUUAUCCAA
rnacentral:rRNA from 1 species